UACGUAGGGUGCGAGCGUUAUCCGGAAUCACUGGGCGUAAAGGGCGCGUAGGCGGUCUGUUAAGUCUGGCGUUAAAGCCUGGGGCUCAACCCCAGAUCAGCGUUGGAUACUGGCAGGCUAGACGGUUGGAGAGGCGAGUGGAAUUACCAGUGUAGCGGUGGAAUGCGUAGAUACUGGUAGGAACACCCAUUGCGAAGGCAGCUCGCUGGACAACACGUGACGCUGAGGCACGAAAGUGUGGGGAGCAAACCGGAUUAGAUACCU
rnacentral:rRNA from 1 species